UUCCUCCUGCCGCUCCCACCUGCCUGCGAGAGAACGACCUGGCAAAGGCUCUUGAAGUUGGAAAGUUUACGUGGUCACUGGGAAUCGUGGAGAGGCUUGAGGGAAGGAUUGAAAUGUGAAUAAAGAAACAAACAUUGAGGUUUAUUUUAGCAUUGGUAUUUUUCGUGGACAUUGACGGGAACACUGCGCAUACAAGAAGACCAAGCACCGCGUACGAGUGACCUCGUCUUAGUUAAAGCGGAGAUGAUAGGGCCGACCCGGGAAGUGAUGCAUUGUCAGGUUCUAGACUUUCCCACAAGAACUAGUGACCACACAGGUAAGAAGUAUCGGAGUCAACACCGAACAUUUCAGACCUAGGCAGUGACUAUUGACUUGGUCUUUCUUUCCUGACAAACAGUUACUGGUUCCAGUUUGCUCGGUGCUCCAGCUGGAAAGUACCUUGGGAGAUACUCUGACGGCACUCCUUGGAGCAUGGUGAAUGUUGACCAGCCACGACAGUUUCUGGUGACCAUGAGGAGCUGGCUGGGACCCUGCUCACUCCAGAGUCUGCAGACGGGAUCUUGGGAGAACUGGCCAAAGUCCAUGAAAGGCCGGAAUUCUUGCCGCGGCCAGCUGUCUCACAUCUUCGUGUAGUGCCUGGUCUACGCCAGAGAGAAAACGGUCCUUGCAUUCCGCCUGGUGGCCUAAACAAAACACCACCUUAAAGAGUCGUAGCGUACCUACUGAAUGUCAGAAAAUAUUUGCAAAUCAUAUAUGUGAUAAGGGACUAAUAUCCAAAUAUAUAAAGAACUUCUGCAACCCAAUGGCAAAAAGCAGUGUGAUUGGAAAAUGGGCAGAGGGGCUGAAAAGACAUUUUUCCAAAGAAGACAUCAUCCAGAUGGCCCACAGGUGCUUGAAAAGAUGCUCAACGUCACUCAUCAUCAGGGAUGCAAAUCAAAACCACAGUGAGGUACCACCUCACACCUGUUAGCAUGGCCGUCCUCCAGAAGACAAGCGGUAAGUUGGUGAGGAUGUGGAGGAAAGGGAACCCUCAUGCACUGUUGGUGGGACUGUAGGUUUUUUCAUGUUUCUACACGUAAGUGUUACUUUUUUUUAAAUGUAUUAUUGGGGGGGCUGUAAAUUUGUGC